rnacentral:rRNA from 1 species
ACGGGUGCGUAACGCGUGGGAAUCUGCCCUUGGGUUCGGAAUAACAGUUAGAAAUGACUGCUAAUACCGGAUGAUGUCUUCGGACCAAAGAUUUAUCGCCCAAGGAUGAGCCCGCGUAAGAUUAGCUAGUUGGUGGGGUAAUGGCCCACCAAGGCGACGAUCUUUAGCUGGUCUGAGAGGAUGAUCAGCCACACUGGGACUGAGACACGGCCCAGACUCCUACGGGAGGCAGCAGUGGGGAAUAUUGGACAAUGGGCGAAAGCCUGAUCCAGCAAUGCCGCGUGAGUGAUGAAGGCCUUAGGGUUGUAAAGCUCUUUUACCAGGGAUGAUAAUGACAGUACCUGGAGAAUAAGCUCCGGCUAACUCCGUGCCAGCAGCCGCGGUAAUUCGGAGGGAGCUAGCGUUGUUCGGAAUUACUGGGCGUAAAGCGUACGUAGGCGGUUAUUCAAGUCAGAGGUGAAAGCCCGGGGCUCAACCCCGGAACGGCCUUUGAAACUAGAUAGCUAGAGUCUUGGAGAGGUUAGUGGAAUUCCGAGUGUAGAGGUGAAAUUCGUAGA